rnacentral:rRNA from 1 species
UACGUAGGGGGCGAGCGUUGUCCGGAAUCACUGGGCGUAAAGCGCACGUAGGCGGAUUGCUAAGUCAGGGGUGAAAUCCUGGAGCUCAACUCCAGAACUGCCUUUGAUACUGGCAAUCUCGAGUCCGGGAGAGGUGAGUGGAACUGCGAGUGUAGAGGUGAAAUUCGUAGAUAUUCGCAAGAACACCAGUGGCGAAGGCGGCUCACUGGCCCGGUACUGACGCUGAGGUGCGAAAGCGUGGGGAGCAAACAGG